ACUUGGUGUAAAUUGAUCAUUUGUACCAAAACAUAUUAAUUUAUACUUUAAAAUUCAAAACAACGCAAACGUCCUAUGUCAUCUUUUCUCAGUGUGUUCGCAUUUGUUCUAUACACCCUUUUCUCGGUAAAUCGACGCAUCUGUCAAAACAAAAUAACAUCGCGCACACUGCAGAUAGGAUCGUAGUAAACCGACGUAUGUAACAACAAUUUAGCAGAAAAAAUGUUCUGCAGAUAGGUCGUGUUCGUUUUUCGUAUACCAGUGUGUUUCAUGUUUUCUUUAAAGAGAUAUAAUCGAGCUUGAAACGUGAACCAUUGAACCAUUUUGUUACGAUGGAUUCCAGUUGUUGGCAUGUUUUGCUACUACGUUGAACUGCAGGCCUCCAUUGGGAGAAAGCUUACUAUUGAACACAAGUUGAUGAAAACUGGGCACUCCCAUAUGGAGGUUGACACUGUUCAUGCGGCGAUUGAGAGAGCGAAACGAAGGACGACGGCUAAUAUUGAAAUACCGCAUGACUGGGCUUUAUUUAUUUCUGCGAUUACACGCUUCUUUGUGACCGGUACUCUAUGCCAAAAAAGACACCGGAAGGAGAAAUGGUGAGAUUUAAAGACAUCAUGGUGUUUAGGUACAGCACUGACGCUCCAGGGAAAGUUUUUUACAAAUACGACCCAGGGCAAGACUUUUUCGAAACUGUUCAUCUUUUACAGCAAACGGCGAAGGUCGGGAAUAUUACGUUGCAUCCCCUGAACACUGAGCCACUGACUUUACCGGAUUCCAAACUCAACGACCUUCGGGGUCUUCUGCCAUAUAUAUGCAAGCAAGAUUAUUAUAAGACAUUCCUGAAAAAAUUGGUUCCUACCAAGAGGGGACGUAAAGCUAAGUCAAUUAAAGAAGAUAAUUUCGAAGACGAUAUGGAUGCAGAAGUAGCAGAAGAAGAAAUGCCACUAGAUUGAUUUGCUUACUUUUUUUUCCACUACUUUUUGUUUAUUGUUCCAUGUUUAUUUAAAUGUAAAAAUAAACUUUUACACAAAAGCUA